GAUGAAGAACGUAGCGAAAUGCGAUAAGUAGUGUGAAUUGCAGAAUUCAGUGAAUCAUCGAAUCUUUGAACGCACAUUGCGCCCCUUGGUAUUCCAUGGGGCAUGCCUGUUCGAGCGUCAUUUGUACCCUCAAGCUCUGCUUGGUGUUGGGUGUUUGUCCACUCCUUGGUGUCUGGACUCGCCUUAAAGCAAUUGGCAGCCAGUGUUUUGGUAUUGAAGCGCAGCACAUUUUGCGUCUCCAGCCUAGAACGCUUGCGUCCAGUAAGCCUUUUUCCACUUUUGACCUCGGAUCAGGUAGGGAUACCCGCUGAACUUAAGCAUAUCAAUAAGCGGAGGA
rnacentral:misc_RNA from 1 species